GACGAACGCUGGCGGCGUGCUUAACACAUGCAAGUCGAACGGUAAGGCCCUUCGGGGUACACGAGUGGCGAACGGGUGAGUAACACGUGGGUGAUCUGCCCUGCACUUCGGGAUAAGCCCGGGAAACUGGGUCUAAUACCGGAUAGGACCCUGGGAUGCAUGUCCUGGGGUGGAAAGCUUUUGCGGUGUGGGGUGGGCCCGCGGCCUAUCAGCUUGUUGGUGGGGUGAUGGCCUACCAAGGCGCCGACGGGUAGCCGGCCUGAGAGGGUGACCGGCCACACUGGGACUGAGAUACGGCCCAGACUCCUACGGGAGGCAGCAGUGGGGAAUAUUGCACAAUGGGCGCAAGCCUGAUGCAGCGACGCCGCGUGAGGGAUGACGGCCUUCGGGUUGUAAACCUCUUUCAGCACCGACGAAGCGCAAGUGACGGUAGGUGCAGAAGAAGGACCGGCCAACUACGUGCCAGCCGCCGCGGUAA
rnacentral:rRNA from 1 species